ACACGUGACUCCCACACCGCCGCCAUGACACACAGGUUCCUGUUGAGUUGCCUGCUGUUGCUGGCGCUGCUGGGCAUCUGCGCGGCGCAGUACGGCGGCUACGGCAGAGGAGGCUACGGCAGAGGAGGAGGUGGUAACUACGGCGGCUACGGCGGGAGGGGAGGUGGCUACGGCGGCUACGGCGGGAGGGGUGGAGGCUACGGCGGAAGAAGGGGUGGCUACGGCGGCUGGGGGCGCUAGGCAUCUCUACCUGCGCGAGAGCCUUCAUACGGAACAUUUACCACUGGAAUCCUUCGUGACAUGUCCAAGAAAUUUCAGUUCUUGGAUUCUUCGAUUUUCCAAUGUUGCAAAGUACCAUGCCUACCCCCAAAAAAAUAUCUCGUGUUUUUAAAGUGAUUAAACUUUAGUUUAUACCCUAAAAUAUUACAUGGAACUUAAUUAAAAAAUAUAUAUUUACUUACCAUAGUGUCUGUAAUUGCUUUGUUAGCUCCCAUUCUAUUCAUGCAAAGCUUUUGUAAGGUCUAGCAGAAUAUAUAUAUAUAUAUAUAUAUAUAUAUAUAUAUGUGUGUGUGUGUGUGUAUAUAUAUAUAAUAGAAAUGCAACACGGAUACGAUUUUAGACUAUUCAUAGCUUCGUGAAUUAGAUUAUGUCAAUAGAACUAUUUUUAAAACUUCUGGUCUGUUAAAAUAAUUUAGUCUCUAGGCUCUGGUUCUUUAUAAGUAAUGUUCUCAUUAUUUUUAUUACUGCAAUAAAACGUGUUUGUUGUUUUUAUAAAA